rnacentral:rRNA from 1 species
CGCGCAGGCGGAUAUUUAAGUCCGAUGUGAAAUACCAGGGCUUAACCCUGGGGGUGCAACGGAAACUGGGUAUCUUGAGUACAGGAGAGGAAAGUGGAAUUCCACGUGUAGCGGUGAAAUGCGUAGAUAUGUGGAGGAACACCAGUGGCGAAGGCGACUUUCUGGACUGUAACUGACGCUGAGGCGCGAAAGCGUGGGGAGCAAACA